rnacentral:rRNA from 1 species
UACGGAGGGUGCGAGCGUUGUCCGGAAUCACUGGGCGUAAAGGGCGCGUAGGUGGCGCGACAAGUCAACGGUGAAAGCUCGGCGCUCAACGCCGAGUCGGCCGUCGAUACUGUUGGGCUUGAGCACUGUAGAGGCUAAUGGAAUUCCGGGUGUAGCGGUGGAAUGCGUAGAGAGUCCGGAAGAACACCGGUGGCGAAGGCGGUUAGCUGGGCAGUUGCUGACACUGAGGCGCGGACAGCGUGGGGAGCAAACAGG